GGUCCCUUCCAACCCAAACCAUUGUAUGAAAUUAAGCAAUUGUUCCUUUAUUUUCACAGCUAAUGAUUCCAUCUUGCACUUAUUCCUAGUUCCUGUUAAAUAACAUCUUAUGUUUUCAGAUCACAUUUGCAUCUUGCCAGUAUUAUUCUGAAUUCUGAUCUUACCUUCUAGUAUACUUGAAGUCGAAUUCUGCUUAGUCUUGUUUGAAGAUAUUAAAAGGAUGCUCUGCAUGGUCCAAGGGGUUAAUGGGAAAAACGCAGGAGCAGAUGAAACAGGUGGUAACUGGAACUUCACCCUGUUGUUGGGACUGUUAUUAACUCAGAUCAUACAUAGCUCAUGCAGCGUGACUGAGUUUCUUGACACCACCAUCCUCAAAUACACCAACUACCCUGUGUGGGACCACCUCUGAAUGUGGGAAGUGCAUUUAUUAGAAGUCUUAAGAUUCGGACAGCUGAAAAAAAAUUAUAAAAAGAACACCCCACAGCUAACAAGAUCUCCCAGGUUCCAUUUAAGAGAAGCACCUGCUGGGUUCUUCCUUACCCAGUUUUCUGCAAUGUAAAGGGUAUCAAGAGGCAAAGAUAAGCACAGUUCCAAAAUCUGAAGAAUUAAGUACUUCAAGCUUAGUAAACAGGAGCGAUAGCACUUAAAACCUGUUCUCUAAUGAUCCAAAUAGCUCUGAUGGCCCAGUCAUACCAUACAGGCUUUUUACUGAACAGUCUAUAGCUCAUCCAGGAUCUCAGUAACUUUGGCACAACCCCAAUGACUGGGGAGAAAAGCAGAUCCGAAAUAAAAGAUUAUGAUGUGUGAAAUACA